rnacentral:rRNA from 1 species
GGUUAAGCGACUAAGCGUACACGGUGGAUGCCCUGGCAGUCAGAGGCGAUGAAGGACGUGCUAAUCUGCGAUAAGCGUCGGUAAGGUGAUAUGAACCGUUAUAACCGGCGAUUUCCGAAUGGGGAAACCCAGUGUGAUUCGUCACACUAUCAUUAACUGAAUCCAUAGGUUAAUGAGGCGAACCGGGGGAACUGAAACAUCUAAGUACCCCGAGGAAAAGAAAUCAACCGAGAUUCCCCCAGUAGCGGCGAGCGAACGGGGAGCAGCCCAGAGCCUGAAUCAGUGUGUGUGUUAGUGGAAGCGUCUGGAAAGGCGCGCGAUACAGGGUGACAGCCCCGUACACAAAAAUGCACAUACUGUGAGCUCGAUGAGUAGGGCGGGACACGUGGUAUCCUGUCUGAAUAUGGGGGGACCAUCCUCCAAGGCUAAAUACUCCUGACUGACCGAUAGUGAACCAGUACCGUGAGGGAAAGGCGAAAAGAACCCCGGCGAGGGGAGUGAAAAAGAACCUGAAACCGUGUACGUACAAGCAGUGGGAGCACAGAGCAAUCUGUGUGACUGCGUACCUUUUGUAUAAUGGGUCAGCGACUUAUAUUCUGUAGCAAGGUUAACCGAAUAGGGGAGCCGAAGGGAAACCGAGUCUUAACUGGGCGUUAAGUUGCAGGGUAUAGACCCGAAACCCGGUGAUCUAGCCAUGGGCAGGUUGAAGGUUGGGUAACACUAACUGGAGGACCGAACCGACUAAUGUUGAAAAAUUAGCGGAUGACUUGUGGCUGGGGGUGAAAGGCCAAUCAAACCGGGAGAUAGCUGGUUCUCCCCGAAAGCUAUUUAGGUAGCGCCUCGUGAAUUCAUCUCCGGGGGUAGAGCACUGUUUCGGCAAGGGGGUCAUCCCGACUUACCAACCCGAUGCAAACUGCGAAUACCGGAGAAUGUUAUCACGGGAGACACACGGCGGGUGCUAACGUCCGUCGUGAAGAGGGAAACAACCCAGACCGCCAGCUAAGGUCCCAAAGUCAUGGUUAAGUGGGAAACGAUGUGGGAAGGCCCAGACAGCCAGGAUGUUGGCUUAGAAGCAGCCAUCAUUUAAAGAAAGCGUAAUAGCUCACUGGUCGAGUCGGCCUGCGCGGAAGAUGUAACGGGGCUAAACCAUGCACCGAAGCUGCGGCAGCGACGCUGAUGCGUUGUUGGGUAGGGGAGCGUUCUGUAAGCCUGUGAAGGUGUACUGUGAGGUAUGCUGGAGGUAUCAGAAGUGCGAAUGCUGACAUAAGUAACGAUAAAGCGGGUGAAAAGCCCGCUCGCCGGAAGACCAAGGGUUCCUGUCCAACGUUAAUCGGGGCAGGGUGAGUCGACCCCUAAGGCGAGGCCGAAAGGCGUAGUCGAUGGGAAACAGGUUAAUAUUCCUGUACUUGGUGUUACUGCGAAGGGGGGACGGAGAAGGCUAUGUUGGCCGGGCGACGGUUGUCCCGGUUUAAGCGUGUAGGCUGGUUUUCCAGGCAAAUCCGGAAAAUCAAGGCUGAGGCGUGAUGACGAGGCACUACGGUGCUGAAGCAACAAAUGCCCUGCUUCCAGGAAAAGCCUCUAAGCAUCAGGUAACAUCAAAUCGUACCCCAAACCGACACAGGUGGUCAGGUAGAGAAUACCAAGGCGCUUGAGAGAACUCGGGUGAAGGAACUAGGCAAAAUGGUGCCGUAACUUCGGGAGAAGGCACGCUGAUAUGUAGGUGAAGUCCCUCGCGGAUGGAGCUGAAAUCAGUCGAAGAUACCAGCUGGCUGCAACUGUUUAUUAAAAACACAGCACUGUGCAAACACGAAAGUGGACGUAUACGGUGUGACGCCUGCCCGGUGCCGGAAGGUUAAUUGAUGGGGUUAGCGCAAGCGAAGCUCUUGAUCGAAGCCCCGGUAAACGGCGGCCGUAACUAUAACGGUCCUAAGGUAGCGAAAUUCCUUGUCGGGUAAGUUCCGACCUGCACGAAUGGCGUAAUGAUGGCCAGGCUGUCUCCACCCGAGACUCAGUGAAAUUGAACUCGCUGUGAAGAUGCAGUGUACCCGCGGCAAGACGGAAAGACCCCGUGAACCUUUACUAUAGCUUGACACUGAACAUUGAGCCUUGAUGUGUAGGAUAGGUGGGAGGCUUUGAAGUGUGGACGCCAGUCUGCAUGGAGCCGACCUUGAAAUACCACCCUUUAAUGUUUGAUGUUCUAACGUUGACCCGUAAUCCGGGUUGCGGACAGUGUCUGGUGGGUAGUUUGACUGGGGCGGUCUCCUCCUAAAGAGUAACGGAGGAGCACGAAGGUUGGCUAAUCCUGGUCGGACAUCAGGAGGUUAGUGCAAUGGCAUAAGCCAGCUUGACUGCGAGCGUGACGGCGCGAGCAGGUGCGAAAGCAGGUCAUAGUGAUCCGGUGGUUCUGAAUGGAAGGGCCAUCGCUCAACGGAUAAAAGGUACUCCGGGGAUAACAGGCUGAUACCGCCCAAGAGUUCAUAUCGACGGCGGUGUUUGGCACCUCGAUGUCGGCUCAUCACAUCCUGGGGCUGAAGUAGGUCCCAAGGGUAUGGCUGUUCGCCAUUUAAAGUGGUACGCGAGCUGGGUUUAGAACGUCGUGAGACAGUUCGGUCCCUAUCUGCCGUGGGCGCUGGAGAACUGAGGGGGGCUGCUCCUAGUACGAGAGGACCGGAGUGGACGCAUCACUGGUGUUCGGGUUGUCAUGCCAAUGGCACUGCCCGGUAGCUAAAUGCGGAAGAGAUAAGUGCUGAAAGCAUCUAAGCACGAAACUUGCCCCGAGAUGAGUUCUCCCUGACCCUUUAAGGGUCCUGAAGGAACGUUGAAGACGACGACGUUGAUAGGCCGGGUGUGUAAGCGCAGCGAUGCGUUGAGCUAACCGGUACUAAUGAACCGUGAGGCUUAACCUU